CAUAUCGUUACUAUCCCCUUUACAGAGGAGGAAGACAACACUUGGAGAAAUUGGUUAAGUUGACCAAAUUUGGACGUUAGUAAAUGGCAGCGUUGGUUUCUGGAUCUCCUUGACUCCAAGUCCCCUGCUUUUAAUCCCUUUCUAGACUGUUCUGAGCUGUGUUCCCAGCAGAUUCUCUGCCUCCAGAAGUCAUCUGCGCAUCUUCUCUCUGCACUUUGUGUAGGAUGGAAGGUUGAUAUUGCAGUUACAUAAUGGGAAGAAGAAAAAAAGUGACAAAAGACACCAGACCCAUGACUUUCUAUGUUCAAAACACAUCAUCCCCUGAGGCAAGCAUGGGGCUCAUGAUCUCCAGUAGGCCAUGGGAAAGUCAAAAAGGAAGUAGAUUCCAACUCUAUCACAAACAGAUAACUGAAGAAGCUCUAUAACAAUAAAGUGGAAAGAGGGUCUUUUAAGAUUAAAGAGUCCUCAAGAAGAAUUGAAGAAAUUCGUGGGACAUUGGGGAUGGACAGGAAAGGGAAACUGUUUAAUGUCACAAAUCGAAGGAGUGUAACAAGGAAUCAAAAGCAUCUACUGAUUGUUCAGCCCUGUCCAAGGUGCUCUACGGUACAAAACAAGUAUUAAGCCAGUUCCAGAUGACAAGGAGUUUCACACAGUAGUGACCUGAAUUAUGGAUGACCAAGGUCAGUGAUCUUAGAGGACACUCCUCAUUGAAUCCUCUUAGCUGCACCUAGGAAGAAUGAGGGGAAGAAACAAUGCAGGUGGCCAGCAGAACAUCAGCAACAACCAAAGUGCUAACUAGGGGCUCACGGAAGGCAGGGCUGUUGAAGUUGCAGAGUAUUAAGUCAGAGAAUAG
ensembl:lncRNA